rnacentral:rRNA from 1 species
GAUGAACGCUGACAGAAUGCUUAACACAUGCAAGUCAAUGGGGAAACGGUGCUUGCACCGUGAUAACCAUGGCGGACGGGUGAGUAACGCGUAAAGAACUUGCCUCUUAGUCUGGGAUAACAGAUGGAAACGACUGAUAAAACUAGAUAUUAUUAAAGUUUCGCAUGAAGCUUUAAUGAAAAGAGAUGCUAAGAGAGAGCUUUGCGUCCUAUUAGUUAGUUGGUGAGGUAACGGCUCACCAAGACGAGGAUAGGUAGCCGGUCUGAGAGGAUGAACGGCCACAAGGGGACUGAGAUACGGCCCUUACUCUUACGGGAGGCAGCAGUGGGGAAUAUUGGACAAUGGAGGAGACUCUGAUCCAGCAAUUCUGUGUGCACGAAGACGGUUUUCGGAUUGUAAAGUGCUUUCAGCAGGGAAGAAGAAAGUGACGGUACCUGCAGAAGAAGCGACGGCUAAAUACGUGCCAGCAGCCGCGGUAAUACGUAUGUCGCGAGCGUUAUCCGGAAUUAUUGGGCAUAAAGGGCAUCUAGGCGGAUAUACAAGUCAGGGGUGAAAACUUAGGGCUCAACUCAAAGCUUGCCUUUGAAACUGUAUAUCUAGAGUGCUGGAGAGGUGGACGGAACUACACGAGUAGAGGUGAAAUUCGUAGAUAUGUGUAGGAAUGCCGAUGAUGAAGAUAGUCCACUGGACAGCAACUGACGCUGAAGUGCGAAAGCUAGGGGAGCAAACAGG